rnacentral:rRNA from 1 species
UACGUAGGGGGCAAGCGUUGUCCGGAUUCAUUGGGCGUAAAGAGCGUGUAGGCGGCUCGGUAAGUCCGCUGUGAAAGUCCAGGGCUCAACCCUGGAAUGCCAGUGGAAACUGUCGAGCUAGAGUCCGGAAGAGGCGAGUGGAAUUCCUGGUGUAGCGGUGAAAUGCGCAGAUAUCAGGAGGAACACCAAUGGCGAAGGCAGCUCGCUGGGACGGUACUGACGCUGAGACGCGAAAGCGUGGGGAGCGAACAGG